rnacentral:rRNA from 1 species
UAAAGAUUUUAAGGGCGUACGGUGGAUGCCUUGGCGAUAUCAGCCGAAGAAGGACGCGGUAAGCUGCGAUAAGCUACGGAGAGGUGCAAGCAACCUUUGACCCGUAGAUUUCCGAAUGGGGGAACCCGGCAGUGGUUAUGCACUGUCACCCAUAGCUUAGACUAUGAGGAGGGCACCUGGGGAACUGAAACAUCUAAUUACCCAGAGGAAAAGUAAUCAAACGAGAUUUUCUUAGUAGCGGCGAGCGAACGGGAAAGAGGCCAAACCGGAGCGGGCAACCGCACCGGGGUUGAGGACAGUCAUCAAGUGUAAAUGAGGUAGAAGAAUCGAGUUGGAAAGCUCAGCCGAAGAAGGUGAAAGCCCUGUAAUCGAAACCUUGCAUACAUGGGACUGUAUCCAGAGUACCACGAGACACGUGAAACCUUGUGGGAAGCAGGGGGGACCACCCUCCAAGCCAAAAUACUGAUAUCGACCGAUAGCGCAUAGUACCGUGAGGGAAAGGUGAAAAGAACCCCUGGCGGGGAGUGAAAGAGAACCUGAAACCGUAUGUCUACAAACAGUCGAAGUCUGUAUAUAUAUCAGGACGACGGCGUGCCUAUUGAAGAAUGAACCGACGAGUUACUGUUGCUAGCGAGGUUAAGUGGAAAACAUGGAGCCGCAGCGAAAGCGAGUCUGAACAGGGCGUUCAGUUAGUAAUAGUAGACCCGAAACCGUAGUGAUCUAUCCAUGGCCAGGUUGAAGCACAGGUAAAAUUGUGUGGAGGACCGAACUCGUGAGCGUUGAAAAGCUUUGGGAUGAGUUGUGGAUAGGGGUGAAAUGCCAAUCGAACACGGAGAUAGCUGGUUCUCCCCGAAAUAGCUUUAGGGCUAGCCUCGAGGUUGAGAGUAUAGGCGGUAGAGCACUGAUCGGGCUAGGGGCCAUACCGGUUACCGAACCUAGUCAAACUACGAAUGGCUAUACUUAUACUCGGGAGUCAGACAGUGAAUGAUAAGGUCCAUUGUCAAGAGGGAAACAGCCCAGAACACCGACUAAGGUCCCAAAUGUUACACUAAGUGGCGAAGGAUGUGGAGUUUCCAAAACAACCAGGAUGUUGGCUUAGAAGCAGCCACCAUUUAAAGAGUGCGUAAUAGCUCACUGGUCGAGAGACUCUGCGCCGAAGAUGUCCGGGGCUAAAGUGUAAAACCGAAGUCGUGUCAUAUGCAGCAAUGUAUAUGGGUAGGGGAGCGUUCUCAUCGGGCUGAAGCAGUACCGUAAGGAGUUGUGGACUGAUGAGAAGUGAGAAUGUCGGUAUGAGUAGCGAAAAGAAUGGUGAGAAUCCAUUCCACCGAAAGCCUAAGGGUUCCUGAGCAACGAUCGUCGUCUCAGGGUAAGUCGGGACCUAAGCCGAGGCGGAAAAGCGUAGGCGAUGGACAACAGGUUGAAAUUCCUGUACCGGUGUGAAUCGUUUGAUCGAUGGAGUGACACAGUAAGGUAGGUCAGCACGCGAUUGGAAGUGCGUGUUUAAGCAGGUAGGUUGAGCUAUAGGCAAAUCCGUAGCUCUAAAAGCUGAGAUGUGAUGACGAGUUACUAGCGAUAGUAACGAAGUGAUUGAUCCUACACUGUCGAGAAAAGCUUCUAGGUAGAGACACAUCGCCCGUACCAAAACCGACACAGGUAGGCGGGGAGAGAAUCCUAAGGUGCGCGGGAAAACCCUCGUUAAGGAACUCGGCAAAAUGCCUCCGUAACUUCGGGAAAAGGAGGACUCAUGUAGUGUGAAGAGCAGCAACGCUUGGAGCAUGAAUGAGUGGCACAAGAGAGGCGCAAGCGACUGUUUACCACAAACACAGGUGCCUGCUAAAGCGAAAGCUGACGUAUAGGUGCUGACACCUGCCCGGUGCUGGAAGGUUAAGAGGAGGGGUUAGACUUCGGGUCGAAGCUCUGAAUUGAAGCCCCAGUAAACGGCGGCCGUAACUAUAACGGUCCUAAGGUAGCGAAAUUCCUUGUCGGGUAAGUUCCGACCCGCACGAAAGGCGUAAUGAUUUGGGCACUGUCUCAACGAGAGACUCGGUGAAAUUUUAGUACCUGUGAAGAUGCAGGUUACCCGCGACAGGACGGAAAGACCCCAUGGAGCUUUACUGCAGUUUGAUAUUGAGUGUCUGUGCCACAUGUACAGGAUAGGUAGGAGCCAUAGAUAUCGGGACGCCAGUUUCGAUGGAGGCGUUGUUGGGAUACUACCCUUGUGUUAUGGCCACUCUAACCCGGUAGGUUUAUCAUCUACGGAGACAGUGUCUGACGGGCAGUUUGACUGGGGCGGUCGCCUCCUAAAGAGUAACGGAGGCGCCCAAAGGUUCCCUCAGAGCGGACGGAAAUCGCUCGAAGAGUGUAAAGGCAGAAGGGAGCUUGACUGCGAGACGGACAGGUCGAGCAGGGACGAAAGUCGGGCUUAGUGAUCCGGUGGUGCCGAGUGGAAGGGCCAUCGCUCAACGGAUAAAAGCUACCCUGGGGAUAACAGGCUAAUCUCUCCCAAGAGUCCAUAUCGACGGGGAGGUUUGGCACCUCGAUGUCGGCUCAUCACAUCCUGGGGCUGAAGUAGGUCCCAAGGGUUCGGCUGUUCGCCGAUUAAAGUGGUACGUGAGCUGGGUUCAGAACGUCGUGAGACAGUUCGGUCCCUAUCCAUCGCGGGCGCAAGAAACUUGAAGGGGGCUGCUCCUAGUACGAGAGGACCGGAGUGGACGAACCGCUGGUGUACCAAUUAUCCUGCCAAGGGUACAGUUGGGUAGCUACGUUCGGGACGGAUAAACGCUGAAAGCAUCUAAGCGUGAAACCAGCCUUGAGAUGAGGUUUCUCAUAGCAUAAGCUAGUAAGAUCCCAUGUAGACGACAUGGUUGAUAGGCCAGGUGUGGAAGAGCCGUGAGGUUUGGAGCUGACUGGUACUAAUAGAUCGAGGGCUUUACUUA